UCAACUUUCUGGCGAGGAAUAGGGAUUCCCGAACUACUGGUGGACUAUUGACGGAACCAGUCAUUGAGAACGUGUACGUUGUGAUCCAACUAUGCCUUUGAAGAACGGUGAACGCAAAGAUGACGCGAUUCUCUGAUCAUCACGAGUGUCCCUGAUUGCUGACGGAAGAUGGAAAUGACCACCUCGGCUACUGAGUGGACUUGGCAUAUGUCGGUGUUUAAAAGGUCCUUCUAUGGGGCUUUGCAGAUGGGAUGACCAAAGAAGAAAAAUAUGGAGCCUCCUCCCCAGUGACUUUGCAGAACUGAAGUUGGCAACGCUUGUACAGGUAAACUUGGGAGAAGGUUUUACUGGUCAGUAAAGUACCCAGAGGUAAAGCUGGUGGCAAGGACGCUG